GAGAAUCAGAACAAGAUGAGAGCAGCAUCACUCUGCAGUGGAAUAAAAUCAACAACAGCACCAACUUUCUUUUCCAAAU